AUUUUCCAAUUUCAAGUCUGGAUUCUCUACAUCCUUUAAUCACAAUGUCAUAUAUGUUAAUAGAAUAGCAGUGUGUCAUAUGAAUCUCAAUUUUUUGAACAAGAAAAUGAAUUUGGGGAUUUGAAUGAACAAAGUGAAGAUAUUGCUGAAAAUUAUGACAAGCACCAAGAGUUAACCACCAAAACACAGGACUCUGAAGAUAUCUUUACCAAGCAAUCUAUCUCUAUUAUUACAGAGGAACCCAAACAACCAUGUCAACAUAGUCAAGUAGUUCUCACAUAUACAGUUAUACUUUAUACUGUUUACCACUAGUCAUGUUUUUAAUGUGUUAUAAAUUGACAAUAUGCUUGUUGAUGGCUUAUGCAUGAAACACUGUGUAGCAAAACUUUAUUAACAUCUGGUAGAAAUGUGCUCAACAAACAUAAAAAUAUAUUACAAUAGAUAUUUUUGAAACAGUGAACAUUAA